rnacentral:rRNA from 1 species
UGGGGAGUAUUGGACAAUGGGCGCAAGCCUGAUCCAGCCAUGCCGCGUGAGUGAUGAAGGCCUUAGGGUUGUAAAGCUCUUUCGCCGGUGAAGAUAAUGACGGUAACCGGAGAAGAAGCCCCGGCUAACUUCGUGCCAGCAGCCGCGGUAAUACGAAGGGGGCUAGCGUUGCUCGGAAUCACUGGGCGUAAAGCGCACGUAGGCGGAUCGUUAAGUCAGGGGUGAAAUCCUGGAGCUCAACUCCAGAACUGCCCUUGAUACUGGCGAUCUCGAGUUCGAGAGAGGUUGGUGGAACUCCGAGUGUAGAGGUGAAAUUCGUAGAUAUUCGGAAGAACACCAGUGGCGAAGGCGGCCAACUGGCUCGAUACUGACGCUGAGGUGCGAAAGCGUGGGGAGCAAACAGG